rnacentral:rRNA from 1 species
GACGAACGCUGGCGGCGUGCCUAAUACAUGCAAGUCGAACGCAGUGGGGACGGGUCAGUAACACGUGGGUAAUCUCCCAUCAGAGGGGAUAACACUAGUACACAGGUGCUAAACCGAUACUGAUGGAUGGACCCUCGGUGCAUUAGCUAGUUGGGGAGGUAACGGCUCACAAAGGCCACGAUGCAUAGCCGACAGGGGAGGGGGACCGGCAAAACGGGAACUGAGAAACGUCCAAGACUCCUCCGGAAGGCGGAGUGAGGGAUGCUUCGGCAAGGGACGAAAGCCGGACGAAGCAACGCGGGGUGGGUGAAGAGGGUUUUCGGAUCGUAAAACUCGGUAGUUGGAGAGGCGGUAUCUAACCAGAAAGCCACGGCUAACUACGUGCCAGCAGCCGCGGUAAUUC